UACGUAGGGGGCUAGCGUUGUUCGGAAUUAUUGGGCGUAAAGCGCGUGUAGGCGGCUUUGUAAGUCGGGUGUGAAAUCCCUCAGCUUAACUGAGGAAGUGCGCCCGAAACUGCUUGGCUUGAGUGCCGGAGAGGAUGGCGGAAUUCCCCAAGUAGAGGUGAAAUUCGUAGAUAUGGGGAGGAACACCGGUGGCGAAGGCGGCCAUCUGGACGGUAACUGACGCUGAGACGCGAAAGCGUGGGUAGCAAACAGG
rnacentral:rRNA from 1 species